rfam:Operophtera brumata OBRT01_Sc06044, whole genome shotgun sequence.
CUACAGGCUCUUUUCAGAGCCACAUCGUAGCCACAACAUCGCAUCA